AGCUGUAAGCGUAGCAAUAUGUUUAGGUGAUAGAUACUAAUAGGUCGAGGACUUGACCAAA
rnacentral:rRNA from 1 species